rnacentral:lncRNA from 1 species
CCUCCUGGAGCGCCACCAGGUCGUCCAUCUUUCCACGGCCCACCAGAUCGACGGCCAUCAUCGUACGACGCGAUCAAGAACGCCACCCCGAGAUCAGAUCCAAAGUGACCUCAUAAUAAUAUUACCACGGAGAGGAGAGAGGAGAGAGGCGAGAGGAGAGCGGAGAGAGGAGAGAUCAGUAGGAGCACAUGUUUAUAAUGAGCGAGGGCGAGACGGAGAGAACAUGAAAAAGAAAAAUCAAAAAUAAAUUAAUAAAGC